rnacentral:rRNA from 1 species
GGGCCCGCACAAGCGGUGGAGCAUGUGGUUUAAUUCGAUGAUACGCGAGGAACCUUACCAGGGCUUAAAUGUAAGUUGCAUUAGCUAGAGAUAGCUAUUUCUUCGGACUACUUACAAGGUGCUGCAUGGUUGUCGUCAGCUCGUGCCGUGAGGUGUCAGGUUAAGUCCUAUAACGAGCGCAACCCCUGUCGUUAGUUGCCAGCAUGUAAAGAUGGGGACUCUAGCGAGACUGCCGGUGCAAACCGAGAGGAAGGUGGGGAUGACGUCAAAUCAUCACGGCCCUUACGUCCUGGGCUACACACGUGCUACAAUGGUAUGGACAAUGAGCAGCCACUAUGCGAAUAGGAGCGAAUCUAUAAACCAUAUCACAGUUCGGAUCGGAGUCUGCAACUCGACUCCGUGAAGCUGGAAUC